UACGAAGGGGGCUAGCGUUGUUCGGAAUUACUGGGCGUAAAGCGUGCGCAGGCGGCUUCUCAAGUCAGGGGUGAAAGCCCAGAGCUCAACUCUGGAAUUGCCUUUGAGACUGAGUGGCUUGAGUACGAGAGAGGUGAGUGGAAUUCCCAGUGUAGAGGUGAAAUUCGUAGAUAUUGGGAAGAACACCGGUGGCGAAGGCGGCUCACUGGCUCAUUUCUGACGCUCAGGCGCGACAGCGUGGGGAUCGGAAA
rnacentral:rRNA from 1 species